rnacentral:rRNA from 1 species
CCUGGUUGAUCCUGCCAGUAGUCAUAUGCUUGUGUUAAAGAUUAAGCCACGCAUGUCUAAGUAUAAGCCCUUGUACGGUAAAACUGCGAAUGGCUCAUUAUAUCAGUUAUAGUUUAUUUGGUGGUAAAACAUAGUUGAAUAACUGUGAAAAAUUACGGCUAAUGCAUGAGCGAAAAUCCGAUCUCACGAGAGGAUAGCAUUUAUUAGCCUGGCAAGCCAACUAAUAUGCAGAAAUGCAUAUUUCCAUGGCGAGUCAUAAUAAUUUUGCGAAUCGCAAGUCUUUAAGACGGCGAUGCACCACUCAAGUUUCUGCCCUAUCAACUUUCGAUUGUAGGAUCUGGGCCUACAAUGGUUAUAACGGGUAACGGGGAAUUAGGGUUUUAUUCCGGAGAGGGAGCUCGAGAAACGGCUACCAUUUCUAAGGAAAGCAGCAGGCGCGAAAAUUAUCCAUUUAAGAAAAUUAGAGAUAGUGACAACAAAUAAUUAUGUAGGGGUUUUAAAAACUUCUACAAUAAGAAUGAGUUUAAAACAAAAUUCUACUACGAAUACGACUGGAGGGCAAGUCUGGUGCCAGCAGCCGCGGUAAUUCCAGCUCCAGUAGCGUAUACUUAAGUUGUUGCGGUUAAAAAGCUCGUAGUUUGAUUUUAAGAUCUGUUUGGCUUGGUCCGCUAAACCUAGUGAGUACUGAGCCGAAGAUCUUUUACCAUUGUCGGCUUCCGUCUGCACUUCAUUGAGUGGAGGGAUGGCUUACAAACUAUUACUUUGAAAAAAUUAGAGUGUUCAAAGCAGGCUUCAACGCCUUGAAUAUUUCAGCAUGGGAUAAUGCCAUGGGACGAGUGUUUUAUUUCAUUGGUUUCUAUUACACACGUCACGAUCAACAGGAACGGUUGGGGUGAUUUAUAUUUCUCCGUUAGAGGUGAAAUUCUAUGAUCGGAGAAAGAUAGACUAGUGCGAAAGCAUUUCACAAGGAUGUUUUCAUUGAUCAAGAACGAAGGUUGAGGGAUCGACGCCGAUCAGAUACCGGCUUAGUCUCAACAGUAAACUAUGUCGACCAGGGAUUAGAAGAUGUUUUAAUUUUCAAAGGCUCCUCUAGCACCUUUUGAGAAAUCAUAAGUCUUUGGGGGGGAGUAUGGUUGCAAGGCUGAAACUUAAAGGAAUUGACGGAAGGGCACCACCAGGAGUGGAGCCUGCGGCUUAAUUCGACUCAACACGGGAAAACUCACCAGGUCCAGACAAUAGAAGGAUGAACAGACUUGAAGAUCUUUUUAGAUUUAUUGGGUGGUGGUGCAUGGCCGUUCUUGGUUCGUGUGAUGACAUGUCUGGUUAAUUCCGAUAACGAGCGAGAC